CCUACGGGUGGCAGCAGUGAGGAAUCUUGGUCAAUGGACGAGAGUCUGAACCAGCAACGUAGCGUGAAGGAUGACUGCCCUCUGGGUUGUAAACUCCGUUUAUAAAGGAAUAAAACGAGGCAAGUGUGCAUUUUUGCAUGUACUUUAUGUAUAAGGAACGGCUAACUCCGCGCCAGCAGCCGCGGUAAUACGGAGGAUCCGAGCGUUAUCCGGAUUGAGUGGGUUUAAAGGGAGCGUAGAUGGGUUGUUAAGUCCGUUGUGAAAGUUUGCGGCUCAACAGUAAAAUUGCAAUUGAUACUGGCAGUCUUGAGUACAGUAGAGGUAAGCGGAAUUCGUGGUGUAGCGGUGAAAUGCGUAGAUAUCACGAAGAACCCCGAUUGCGAAGGCAGCUUACUGGACUGUGACUGACAUUGAUGCUCGAAAGUGUGGGUAGCAAACAGGAUUAGAUACCCUAGUAGUC
rnacentral:rRNA from 1 species